GUGCCUAACACAUGCAAGUCGCACGAGAAAGUUCCCGCAAGGGGGCGAGUAAAGUGGCAGACGGGUGAGUAACACGUGAACAACAUACCUUCCUGCGGGGGACAACCGUCCGAAAGGAUGGCUAAUACCGCAUGACAUCAUAACAAGGCAUCUUGAAGUGAUCAAAGGUCGCAAGACUGUGGGAAGAUUGGUUCGCGUCCCAUUAGCCUGACGGUGAGGUAACGGCUUACCGUAUUAGCUAUGAUGGGUAGCUGGUCUGAGAGGAUGACCAGCCACACUGGAACUGAGAUACGGUCCAGA
rnacentral:rRNA from 1 species